AACGAACGCUGGCGGCGCGCCUAACACAUGCAAGUCGAACGAGAAGUACGUAGCAAUACGUAUUGUAAAGUGGCGCACGGGUGAGUAACACGUGGGUAAUCUGCCCUUGAGUUUGGGAUAACCCCGCGAAAGCGGGGCUAAUACCGAAUAAGACCACGGGGACCAAAGUCCCUGAGGUAAAAGACGGCCUCUAUUCAUAAGCUGUCACUUGAGGAUGAGCCCGCGGCCCAUUAGCUAGUUGGUAGGGUAACGGCCUACCAAGGCGAUGAUGGGUAGCUGGUCUGAGAGGACGAUCAGCCACACUGGAACUGAGACACGGUCCAGACUCAUACGGGAGGCAGCAGUGGGGAAUAUUGCGCAAUGGGCGAAAGCCUGACGCAGCAACGCCGCAUGGGGGACGAAGGUUCUCGGAUUGUAAACCCCUUUCGAUCGGAACGAAUCUCCUCCUGGUAAAUAAUCAGGAGGAUCGACGGUACCGGGAGAAGAAGCCACGGCUAACUCUGUGCCAGCAGCCGCCGUAAGAC
rnacentral:rRNA from 1 species